GUUGUUUCUUCAUCCGAAGCGUUGCUCUUAUACCUCCCACCUGGGUUGCUUGAAUUCUUCAAAUCUAGAUUUCAAGGUGAUGCAGGAGAGAAAAAGCAAAAGCAAAGGAACAAACCUGGCAGCAGGAAUCCAAUAUCCUCCUACGUUUAUGAUGGAAGUCACCAUCAGGAUGGAGACAGAAUAUUAACCUAUACAUUGCAAAAUGAGGAGAACAGCAAACUCAACAAGGGUUCCAGCAAUCUACAAACAGUCUUCUCUCCAGCCCACGAUAAGUGAUGGAAAGUCUACAGGUAGCAAAAUAACCAACAACCUUCAUUUCUCACCAUACUAAGCAAUCAACGUGCCAUAAUGAAAAUAAGAAUCGCCUAGGCAGCAACAAUGCACAACAUGCAGGUCUUGGUCUACCUUUGAAAAGUCAGCAGGAUAUCACCAUGCAGCCAGCUAAAAACAAGGAAAAAAUGUUCCAAGGACAAGGUGAACUGUAGGACAGACUUGUUAAUAAUUCAUCCCCCCUUGGAUCCACAUUUUAAGGUACUGAAGGAAUUUGUGAGAAUCAGGGAAGUUGAAAGCAAUGCUGUCAGGAGACAAGACUCCAUUAUGAGUUUAGACUCCCAAGACGGAAUAGUCACAGCUAAUAGUCAGACUGACAUACAUCUAUCCUCUUUAGGAAACAACAGUUGCAUCAACAGAAGAGACCUGAUAGUUUCAAUGAUGAUGAGAUAGAGCAGUGGUUCCCUCUGGGUAACCCAGAUGUUCUUGGAUUGUAAUUCCCAGAGG